AGAGUUUGAUCCUGGCUCAGAUUGAACGCUGGCGGCAGGCCUAACACAUGCAAGUCGAGCGGUAGAGAGGAGCUUGCUCCUCUUGAGAGCGGCGGACGGGUGAGUAAUGCCUAGGAAUCUGCCUGGUAGUGGGGGAUAACGUUCGGAAACGGACGCUAAUACCGCAUACGUCCUAAGGGAGAAAGCAGGGGACCUUCGGGCCUUGCGCUAUCAGAUGAGCCUAGGUCGGAUUAGCUAGUUGGUGAGGUAAUGGCUCACCAAGGCGACGAUCCGUAACUGGUCUGAGAGGACGACCAGCCACACUGGAACUGAGACACGGUCCAGACUCCUACGGGAGGCAGCAGUGGGGAAUUUUGGACAAUGGGCGCAAGCCUGAUCCAGCAAUGCCGCGUGAGUGAAGAAGGCCUUCGGGUUGUAAAGCUCUUUUGUCAGGGAAGAAACGGUGGGAGCUAAUAUCUCCUGCUAAUGACGUACCUGAAGAAUAAGC
rnacentral:rRNA from 1 species